rnacentral:tRNA from 1 species
UCCCUUAUAGCUCAGUUGGUAAAGCAUCUGCCUGCAAUGCUGGAGACCUGGGUUCGAUCCCUGGGUUGGGAA